UACGAAGGGUGCAAGCGUUACUCGGAAUUACUGGGCGUAAAGGGUUUGUAGGUGGCUUGCUAAGUCAGACGUGAAAUCCCUCGGCUUAACCGGGGAACUGCGUCUGAUACUGGAUGGCUUGAGUUUGGGAGAGGGAUGCGGAAUUCCAGGUGUAGCGGUGAAAUGCGUAGAUAUCUGGAGGAACACCGGUGGCGAAGGCGGCAUCCUGGACCAACACUGACGCUGAGUGAGCGAAAGCCGGGGGAGCAAACGGG
rnacentral:rRNA from 1 species